UACGGAGGGUGCAAGCGUUGUUCGGAAUCAUUGGGCGUAAAGCGCGUGUAGGCGGCUUGGCAAGUCGGUUGUGAAAGCCCGGGGCCCAACCCCGGAAUUGCAUCUGAAACUGCCUCGCUAGAGUCCCGGAGAGGAAGGCAGAAUUCCCGGUGUAGGGGUGAAAUCCGUAGAUAUCGGGAGGAAUACCAGCGGCGAAGGCGGCCUUCUGGACGGUGACUGACGCUGAGGAGCGAAAGCGUGGGGAGCGAACAGG
rnacentral:rRNA from 1 species